AACGAUGUAUUUUAAAAUGGAGAUUGCGUGCUCUGCAAGUACGAGGUGAGUAUUGGAACUCUGUCGUUG
rnacentral:tRNA from 1 species